rnacentral:rRNA from 1 species
AACGAACGCUGGCGGCAUGCCUAACACAUGCAAGUCGAACGAGACCUUCGGGUCUAGUGGCGCACGGGUGCGUAACGCGUGGGAACCUGCCCUUAGGUUCGGAAUAACUCCCCGAAAGGGGUGCUAAUACCGGAUAAUGUCUUCGGACCAAAGAUUUAUCGCCUUUGGAUGGGCCCGCGUUGGAUUAGCUAGUUGGUAGGGUAAAAGCCUACCAAGGCGACGAUCCAUAGCUGGUCUGAGAGGAUGAUCAGCCACACUGGGACUGAGACACGGCCCAGACUCCUACGGGAGGCAGCAGUGGGGAAUAUUGGACAAUGGGCGAAAGCCUGAGCCAGCAAUGCCGCGUGAGUGAUGAAGGCCUUAGGGUUGUAAAGCUCGUUUACCCGGGAUGAUAAUGACAGUACCGGGAGAAUAAGCUCCGGCUAACUCCGUG